rnacentral:lncRNA from 1 species
GGUCUUCUUUCCGGUCCUCAAACAUACCUAGAUCAUUUUUUGCUUCCACCUUGGCUUUCAUUGCACAUCACUUUACCACUUCAGUUGCUCCUUUCCUUUCUUUCAACAUCCAGUUUACCUCUUUUCUUCAUUCUACUUGAACUAUCUGAUCAUUUACUUUAAUAAUUUUUCUUCUGUGAUCUGUAUCCUCAUGAUGUUUUAUAUCUAAUCUAGUGUUUUCGUUUUCUGUUUGCCUCAUUCCUUAACAUAAGCACUGUAAUGGAAUAUUCUUCUUCACUGGUAGUCUAGUUUUUGAUAUAUUCAUUGGAUCUUCUUUCUCUCCUAAAACUGUUUAAAAACUUCCAUCUGGCUACAUUUUAAUGGCCUUUUUAUCACAGUCUUUGCAGUUCCCUUGUUUACAUUCAUUUGCUACCUUCUGUCUAAUAUUUCUUAAUAUUACAUCAAAAGAUACCUACUUAUUUGGCUAACAAUUCUGAACAUACUGAUAUCUCUUACACUCCUAAGUUAGUAAAAUUUAUUAGUUUAUACAAAAUCAUAUGUUUCUUCAUUUGUAACACCACCAAAUAAUAUUCCUUUGUCAGUAUUCUUAUUAUUCUCUUGAUCUCAUUGCUUUAAGUACUGCCUUUAUUAAAACACAAACAAACAUUGUUUUCUGUUUCCGAAGUGCCAGGCUCUGUACGUAAUACUGGAAAUGCUGGGAUGAAGAAGCCAUAGUUUCUGACUUCCAGGGGACAAAACCAGCAAGAUUUUUGCUGAAGUUCUUUUGUCCAAGAGGGAAUCAAAAGCUCCUUCCCUUCAAAUCAUGUCAACCAUUUUCUUCUAAAAACAAAAAAUCUAUGUCUUUAGUAUCUUAUGAUGCUGGUUCUGGAAGAGCUUUUAUAAAGAAAACAACACGAUCAGUAACCCUGGUCCAAGAGAUGUGAGAAAAUGAAUAGUCACAUUUUUGGUAUAGUAUAUCCAUGCAAACAAUUGUAGGUCUACAUUAUCACUUUAUAAUCAUCUCACCAAGUAAUCUGGAACAGAAUGUUUAAUUCCAUGCUCUUUUUGUCGUAAACACAAUUAAAAACCUACCUAUUUUCACAUGUUAAU